ensembl:miRNA
GCUGCCAGCAUCUGGCACUGUGGUUCCUGCAUGAAAACAGUGGAUGGCGGGGUCUGGACCUACAACGCUACUCCUGCCAUCACAGUGAAGUCUGC